UUGGGCGUAAAGGGCACGCAGGCGGUCUGUCAAGUCGGAUGUGAAAUCCCCGGGCUCAACCUGGGAACUGCAUUCGAAACUGGCAGGCUGGAGUCUUGUAGAGGGGGUAGAAUUCCAGGUGUAGCGGUGAAAUGCGUAGAGAUCUGGAGGAAUACCGGUGGCGAAGGCGGCCCCCUGGACAAAGACUGACGCUCAGGUGCGAAAAGCGUGGGGAGCAAAACAGGAUUAGAUACCCGCGUA
rnacentral:rRNA from 1 species